CAUGGAACCUGCAGUAUUCAAUCGUGGGCAAAUGAAAAGAUAUCUUUUGCCUACAAAUUGCAGUGGUCCUACAGAAACAUGGAGGUCUCUGUCCGACUUAGAACAGCUGGCUAAGUCUGAUCGUUCCCCUCCAGACAAG